UUGUAGGAGGCGGGGGCUCGAGGGCAAGGGCCAGCUCGGACGUGUGUCCGCACCUCGGAGGUGCCUGGCCGUGAGGCGACGAUGGAGCUCUUGCGGACUAUCACCUACCAGCCGGCCGCUAGCGCCAAGAUGUGCGAGCAGGCGCUGGGGAAGGCUUGUGGCGGGGACUCGAAUAAGAAGCGGCCGCAGCAGCCCCCCCGAGGAGCCGCAGCCGCCGCAGCCCCAGGCGCAGGGGACAGCCGGCGGCCCCCCACCACCAUCACCACCACUCGCACUCGGGGGCCGAGAUCUCGCGGAUUAUCGUGGACCCCACGACGGGAAAGCGCUACUGCCGGGGCAAAGUGCUGGGAAAGGGUGGCUUUGCCAAAUGUUACGAGAUGACAGAUUUGACAAACAACAAAGUCUAUGCUGCAAAAAUUAUUCCUCAUAGCAGAGUAGCUAAACCUCAUCAAAGGGAAAAGAUUGACAAAGAAAUAGAGCUUCACAGAAUCCUUCAUCAUAAGCAUGUAGUGCAGUUUUACCACUACUUUGAGGACAAAGAAAACAUUUACAUUCUCUUGGAAUACUGCAGUCGAAGGUCCAUGGCUCAUAUCUUGAAAGCAAGGAAGGUGUUGACAGAGCCAGAAGUCCGAUACUACCUCAGGCAGAUUGUGUCUGGACUAAAGUACCUUCAUGAACAAGAAAUCUUACACAGAGAUCUCAAACUAGGGAACUUUUUUAUUAAUGAAGCCAUGGAAUUAAAAGUCGGGGACUUCGGUUUGGCAGCCAGGCUGGAACCCUUGGAACACAGAAGGAGAACAAUAUGUGGUACUCCAAAUUACCUCUCUCCUGAAGUCCUCAACAAGCAAGGACAUGGCUGUGAAUCAGACAUUUGGGCCUUAGGUUGUGUAAUGUAUACAAUGUUACUAGGAAGACCCCCCUUUGAAACGACAAAUUUGAAAGAAACUUACAGGUGCAUAAGAGAAGCAGGGUAUACAAUGCCAUCUUCAUUGCUGGCUCCUGCUAAGCACCUAAUAGCUAGCAUGUUGUCCAAGAAUCCAGAGGAUCAUCCCAGUUUGGAUGACAUCAUUCGACAUGAAUUUUUUUUGCAGGGCUUUACUCCAGACAGACUCUCUUCUAGCUGUUGUCAUACAGUUCCAGAUUUCCACUUGUCAAGCCCGGCUAAGAAUUUCUUUAAGAAAGCAGCUGCUGCUCUUUUUGGUGGCAAAAAAGACAAAGCAAGAUAUAUUGACACACAUAAUAGAAUGUCUAAAGAGGAUGAAGAAAUUUACAAGCUUAGGCAUGAUUUGAAAAAGACUUCAAUAACUCAGCAACCCAGCAAACACAGGACAGAUGAGGAGCUCCAGCCACCUACCACUACAGUUGCCAGAUCUGGAACUCCUGCAGUAGAAAAUAAGCAGCAGAUGGGAGAUGCUAUUCGCAUGAUCGUCCAAGGGACUCUUGGCAGCUGCAGCAGUAGCAGUGAAUGCCUUGAGGACAGUACCAUGGGCAGUGUUGCAGACACAGUAGCAAGAGUCCUUCGAGGAUGUCUAGAAAACAUGCCAGAAGCUGACUGCAUUCCCAAAGAGCAGCUGAGCACUUCCUUUCAGUGGGUCACCAAAUGGGUCGAUUACUCUAACAAAUACGGCUUUGGGUACCAGCUCUCAGACCACACUGUAGGUGUCCUUUUCAACAAUGGUGCUCACAUGAGCUUGCUUCCAGAUAAAAAAACAGUUCACUAUUAUGCAGAGCUUGGCCAGUGCUCUGUUUUCCCUGCAACAGAUGCCCCUGAACAAUUCAUUAGUCAAGUGACGGUGCUCAAAUACUUCUCUCAUUACAUGGAGGAGAACCUCAUGGAUGGUGGAGAUCUGCCUAGUGUUACCAAUAUCCGAAGACUUUGGCUCUACCUCCUUCAGUGGCUAAAAUCUGAUAAGGCCUUAAUGAUGCUCUUCAAUGAUGGCACCUUUCAGGUGAAUUUCUACCAUGAUCAUACGAAAAUAAUCAUUUGUAGCCAAAAUGAAGAAUAUCUUCUCACUUACAUCAACGAGGACAGGAUAUCUACAACAUUCAGACUGACAACUCUGCUGAUGUCUGGCUGUUCGUUAGAAUUAAAGCAUCGAAUGGAAUAUGCUCUGAACAUGCUCUUACAGAGAUGUAAUUGAAAGACUUCUUGAAUGGACCCUAUGGGACGCCUCUUUUCCACUGUGAGAUCUACAGGGAAGCCAGUCAGAUGGUCUACAGCAUGUUGAAAAAGAUGGACAGGUGGUGGUACGAAAACAAUUCCUCUAGGGCCUGAAGGACUAGAUGGAGCCAGACCAGGCUGAGGCAUAUAGUUCUGAACUUUGGACGAUCUGAGAGUGAACCAGAAUGCAGUUUUCCUUGACGUACCUGUUUUAAAAGGUGUUUCAGACAAUUUUGCAGAAAGGUGCAUUGACUCUUCUCUCUGUUGAGAGCAUUUCAGACAGAGGACUUGGAACUGUGAAUAUACUUCCCAAAGGGGAGGGAAAGGGAGGAAGCUCCCAUGUUGUUUAAAGGCUGUAAUUGGAGCAGCUUUUGGCUACUCAACUGUGAACUAUGGCCAUAUAUAAUUUUUUUUUGUUAAUUUUUGAAGACAUUUGUGGCUGGAAAAGUGCAUUCCUUGUUAAUAAACUUUUUAUUUAUUACAGCCAAAAGAGCAGUAUUUAUUAUCAAAAUGUCUUUUUUUUUAUGUUGACCAUUUUAAACCGUUGGCAAUAAAGUGUAUGAA